UACGUAGGUGGCAAGCGUUGUCCGGAUUUAUUGGGCGUAAAGCGAGCGCAGGCGGUUCCUUAAGUCUGAUGUGAAAGCCCCCGGCUCACCCGGGGAGGGACAUUGGAAACUGGGGAACUUGAGUGCAGAAGAGGAGAGUGGAAUUCCAUGUGUAGCGGUGAAAUGCGUAGAUAUAUGGAGGAACACCAGUGGUGAAGGCGACUCUCUGGUCUGUAACUGACGCUGAGGCGCGAAAGCGUGGGCAGCAAACAGG
rnacentral:rRNA from 1 species